CGGGGAGUCACAUAAAAAUAGAUUCUGACAUUUAUUAAUAUCAAAAUGAACACCCUCUAAUUCUUUACAGGUUGUACAGUUGUGGUUUGACAGAGGAAGGUUGUGUUGCUCUGGCCUCAGGUCUGACAUCAAACCCCUCACACUUGAGACAUCUUGAUCUAUCUGGAAAUGAACUAAGAGACUCAGAUGUGAAGCGUCUCUCUGAUCUGAAGGAUGAUCCACAAUGCAAACUGAAGACUUCUGUUUAAGAUGUCAAUCUGACCUUCCCUGGAUCUGCUGAUGGCGAAUAAACAGGCACUACAGACAUGUCAGCAGAAUCAACAGAUACAAACCCAUAGUGAUGGAUGGAUGUGUUUGCGUAACAUUCUGUAAUGAUUCGAUCCUUUAUCCAAAUGUAAAAAAGGAAAUAUUUUGUUACUUCCUCUGAAGUUUUUACUGAUAACCCAUUUUACACAGUAAUAUUAUUAUCAGUUGUCUGUAACAGUUUGUGUGUCAAUCUAUAGUAGGCUACAAAAGAUAUUCAUCAUGGCUGGUUCGGACAACAAGAAGAGGAUCUAUUCGCAAGUGGUAAAAAUUUAUUUAAACAUUAGUCACUGGCAUUGGGAGACAUAGGAAAAGUUGUAGGAGUAUUACAAACCACAACUAACCACUGAAAUAGAGGGCUAUAAUUACACAAACUAAAAGAGAACCAAAUGAGACACAGGUGAACAAAACCUAGAAAACCAAGAAAACAGGAACUAAACACAGUAAAAAUAAAUAAAUAAAAAUAAAUAAAGAAUGGAAAACUUCAGAAUAAAGCAAUAAAUUCAAGACAAAACAAUAUCAAAUGAAUGUAAUUGUUUUAUAUUUAUUUGAAUUUAGUCCUUUAAUGAUUAUUUGGCUUAAUAAAGUACUGAAAAAAGUUAUUUGAAUUUGAUGGUUUAUCAUAUUGGCCUCAAUAUGGACUUCAGAGAAUCUUUUUCAAAAUUAUUUUCAAGAAAAAUCCACUGAACUGAGAGCAAAUAUCCAGCCCAGAGCAGCUCUGACAGAGUGGAAUUGCUGGAAAACGGACACAUAAAAUCACAUUGUAUUAUUUAGACUUUAUUAAGUGUAUUCUGUAAGGAGUAAGGCCCUAUCCACAAUAAUGUGGGUAUUU
rnacentral:lncRNA from 1 species